GACAGUUUGAUUUUUAAAGGCCAAAUCUCUCCAGACUCCAAAGAACUCUGUAGCCAAACAGCAGCACAUACUAAUCAGGCCUGCCUGUCCUUAGAGCAGCAGCAUAGAAGCCUGGAGACGUGGACUUCCCUCCCAUAUUCGCAUUCAACAGCAAAAUAAAUCCAAAUAUAAGGCAGUGCUACAAUUCAAAGACUGUCUGAGAUCAGAUGAGAUUGGGCAUGUUCAGUGUGAUAUGGAUAGAGAUGUUCCCUCACUCCACUGGUCCACAGCCACAUGCAGACCAACCCUGAAGAAUACACCCAAGCGGUCUGCACUCAGAUCAAACCCUGAUCUCCCACAACUACAUCAACACACAAACAACCACCAGAAUACAAUCUAACUGCUACAACAAUAAGCAAGUCCCAAGAGAGUCCAAACUGAAACAGUUGAGUUGCUUUCUCCCUGUUUGUUGGGCUUGUUCAAUCUGCAAAUGGAGAUUCCUUCGGAAUUUCUCAAAUUGAGAAAAGCAGAUCCUGCUGUCUGGACCCACAAAUGACACUCACUUAUCCAGACACAUACUCAAUUACUAACAAGCCCCAAGAGUGUCUGAACUGGAACAGUCAGGGUGCUUCCUCUCUCCGUCAAUUGGCCUUGCUGAACUUGCCAAUGGAAAUUCCUUCAGAAUUUCUCAAAUUGAGAGGAGCUAUUCCCACUGUCGGUAUCCACAAAAGACACUCACCUGUCCACAUGCAGAAGUCAAAUUUGAAAGGCUGUUCUUCCUAGGCAAUCAGAAAUGUGGUUGGGGCUGGCAGCAGCAAUGCUAAAUAGAGAGACUAAAACCCACAUCCUGCCUAAAACAGAUGGGCUGCUGCUUAGGGUUGCGGAAAUUCUCCCAGCUGGUGACAGCCACGCCAAGAGCAAUGUCUUCCUGAUGAGGGAACCAAAAUCUGUUACUGAAAUGCCAGAGGUUCAGUCUAGGUCCUGUUACUCAUUGCACAGAAUGCCAAUCACUGAGGCAAGUAUUUCCAGGGGAGAUGACUUUAUUCAGGUGCUGCAGCUGAGAAGAGCUGCAGAUCAGUCUCAAAUUCAUCUCCCCAAGUGACUGAAAUUGGGGGUUUACAUAGCAGAGGAGGGAUGUAGCUAUGUGCAGGAAAUCAUGCAGCUAUGUGUGGGAAAACAGAAUUUGAAUUUCAGGGCAACAGGAGAUUUGAUGGGGAAUGAACACCCCACAGCUCUGUGCAGGAGUGCCUGGAAGUGAGGCCAGUCAAGGGAAGGCUGCCAGACAACCAACUCAGCUUCAGACCAUCUUCAGAUCGUAACCCACCAGGGACUGUGGGCUUUGCCAGACCACAUUUUUGGUUACUGCAACUCAAGUUGGCUUCUAAAUCUCAAAAAAUGUGACAAUGAUACAGAUUUUUUUAUCUACUUUUGUCUAAAACAUUUAAAUACUCAUUCUGAAGUAACUCAUCUCAAAAUCCAAUGCUAGAAAAAUGGAAAUAAUUACAGGCAGAAGCAAUGAUUUAAAGGUUUAAAAGAAGCUGUCCAUUCUAAAGAGUCAGAGGAAACCUUUCCUUAUGAAAUGGUUAAUGAAAUAAAUAGGAAAAAAAAUUCCAACACAAUCACGAGGUUCCAGAAAACAUUGUAUAUUUAUUUAAAAAGUAAUUUUGUAUGAAUGAAAUAUUUCUUAAGGUUCUGCCUUUCUUUCCUUCCACUCAACAGGAAACAAAAUUACUGGAUUUAUGGUCAAGGAAAAUCACUAACCCACAGCCCUCAGAUGCACUCAUGAAAAUGGGAAGAAUGCAUACACAGGGAUCAGAGAACAGAGAAACAGGUGAAUCUUGUGGUUGGAAAGAAACGCACUUUGGUAUGUACACACAGAAUUAACUUUACUUUUCCACUAAGCUCUCUCUGAGACUUAGAAAUCCCUACAUCUGGGUAGUCUGGAGUCAAUCCCAAGGCCUUUAUUGUUCCUUGAAGUAAAAAGAGCAGUCUCAUGUCAGAAAUUAAUAGGUCCAGUCUAGCACAAUAUUGAAACUCCAAACUUCAAUUUAAACUCUACUUAGAAGCCUGCGGAAGAGGAGGCAGGCGGUUUUGCUGCCUCUUUUUUUCCCUAGCAUCAUCAAAUCCUCUAUUAAUUGGCUGCUGUUUCUUAAGCAUUUCAUGGGAAAGAGAAAUAGAAGCACAGAUAUCUGCUGUUAAUGGUUCUUUCUCUUACCAAGUGCUGUUGGGGGUUUUUCAGAAGUCACAUCAUAUGACUGAAACUUAUCUCCUGUCUGAUUUCUACUCAACUUUUGGGAUUCUACAGAUUCUCACCAUUAGGAUUUCAGUGUCUGGCAGUCCUCUGGGAAACUACUUUUUUAAAAUUAUGGUAAAAUACACAUAACAAAAUUUUUCAUCUUAACCAUUUUUAAGCGUAAAUUUCAGUAGUAAGUACAUUACAUUGUUUUGCAAUCAAUCUCCAGAACUAUUUUCAUCUUGCAAAACUAAAACUCUGUAUCUGUCAAACAAUGACUCCCCAUUUCCUCUUUCCCCCAUCCCUUAGCAACCACCAUUCUACUUUCUGUUUCUUUCAGCUUAACUCUUCUAAGUAACUCAUAUAAGUGAAAUCAUACAGUACUUGUCCUUUUGCUACUGGCUUAUUCCGCAUAGCAUAAAGACUUCAAUGUUUAUUUAUGUUGUAGCUUGUGUCAGAAUGUCCUUCCUUUUUAAAGCUGAAUAAUAUUCCAUUGUAUGUAUAUACCACAUUUCUUCAGUCCACCCAUCGAUGGACACCAGGGUUGCUUUAACCUGUUGACUUGUGAAUAAUGCUGCUAUGAAUGUGGCUGUAUAAAUCUCUUGGAGACAACGUGCUUUAAUUAUUUUGGCUAUAUAUCCAGAAGCAAAAGUGCCAGGUUAUAAUUUAAUGUUUAAUUUGGCGGGGGGGAACCACCAUAUUGUUGUCUGUAGUGGUUUCAUUAUUUUACAUUGCCAUGAAAAUUUCACUAGGGUUGCAAUUUAUCCAUAUCCCUAUAGUAUUUGUUAUUUUCUGGGUUUUUUUUUUCCACAGGAGCCAUCUUAAUGGAUGUGAGGUGAUCUCUUAAUAUAGCUUUGAUUUUAAUUUCUCAAAUGAUUAGUGAUAUUGAAUGUCUUUUCAUAUGUUUGCUGGACAUUUGUUUAUGUUUUAUGAAGAAGUAUCUAUUCAAAUC
rnacentral:lncRNA from 1 species